rnacentral:rRNA from 1 species
GCGAAAACUUCACACUGUGCGAAAGCACGAUGAGGGAAUCCCAAGUGCUGGCUCGUAAGAGUCAGCUGUUUUUCUGUCUAGAAAACAGAGAGAGUAAGAGCUGGGUAAGACGGGUGCCAGCCGCCGCGGUAAUACCUGCAGCUCAAGUGGUGGCCGCUAUUAUUGGGCCUAAAACGUUCGUAGCCGGUCUAGUAAAUGCCUGGGUAAAUCAUACGGCUUAACCGUACGAAUUCCGGGUAGACUGCUGGACUUGGGACUGGGAGAGGCUAGAGGUACUCCUGGGGUAGAGGUGAAAUUCUGUAAUCCUAGGGGGACGACCAGUGGCGAAGGCGUCUAGCUAGAACAGGUCUGACGGUGAGGAACGAAGCCCUGGGGCGCAAACGGGAUUAGAUACCCCGGUAGUCCAGGGUGUAAACGCUGCUUGCUUGAUGUUAGUCGGGCUCCGAGCCCGAUUAGUGUCGGAGAGAAGUUGUUAAGCAAGCUGCCUGGGGAGUACGGCCGCAAGACUGAAACU